AGGUUCUGGACAACCAGUGGCUCAACUCAGGCGAGGAAAUCCAUCAAGGAAAUACUGGGUGAUGUGGAGUUAUCCCACCUUCUAGAAGAAAUCAGCUCUAGAGAGGACAGCUGGGGAAACUCAAAAACCUGUUUAGACAACACCCAGGAGACACGACACACCUCGACAAACUGUGCAGGUUAAAGGGAAACUCUACAGCUCCGCUGUGCAACUCAACUGAUGUACAGACGACGACGGAGAAGUUUUUCAACGACAAGUUGAGACAGCAUCACUGCAUCUGUAACACCUUUACUCAACAGUCAGUUUCCUCAAGCCACGUCCUUGCCUCUAGUACCGCUGUUGCCGGGGUUCUGCGGCGGGGCGCUGGUGUUGCUGCUCAUCUUCAUCAAUCGUCUUCCUCGGCGUGCGACGACGC